GUUUCAAGGGUGCAGUGUUGUCCCAAAUCGCUUACUGCUGUGCGGCGCACUCACCGGAAAUGUUGACGCGAUUUCAUUCUUCUAAGCCAAUUUGUCACCAGCUAGCUCUGCAUCAGCUAAUUACCACCAUCCUUUGCCACAUUGCAUUAGCGUCAGUGGCCUAACAUCCAAGAAAGCCCAAUAGGGGUCUCCAAAUCUUCUCAAAUUCACUUGCUUUCCCUCUGAUGACAAAUGUUAAUCUCUCUAGUAUAACACAGGAAGCCAUCUCUUUCGCCCAAACAUUAAUUGAAGGUACAUCCAUUUUCUUCCAAGAUAAGGCAAAUAUUCUCCUGGCCUGCAGGAGUCCCAAGUCCAUUAAAGUCAUCUGCUUUGAGUUAACAAUAACAUCAUUUGGAUAUAUACCUAGUAUGCAUAAUUUGGCUUGGAGGGGCACUUUAAUCCCUACAAUUUCAGAUACAAUCUUAACGUGUGGCCUAGUAUUAAUCUAGACAUCACUGUUCCCUGAUAGAUUUUUCUGUAAUUUCCAUACUACCAACUUUUUGUUAAUUCCAUAAAGAUGUCUUCUUUUAUUACCUACCUCCCAACACUUUUGCUAUUCACUCAUGAUUCUGCUCUUUAUCAAUGCCUUUGCUUCUGACUCACUAAAUGUAAUUUCCAUAAUUCUUCUUCUUCUUCUUCUUCUACUUCUUCUUCUUCUUCCAGUGUCCGUUUGAGUGUCACAGUAGAGACACCUGCGCUGUUAUCAGAGUCAUAAACACACCUGUAUGUGAAGCACCAGCAGCUCGC